CACGGGGGGAGCAAGCGUUGUUCGGAAUCACUGGGCGUAAAGGGCGUGUAGGCGGUCAAGUAAGUGGGAUGUGAAAUCCCUCGGCUCACCCGAGGACCUGCAUCCCAAACUGCUUGGCUUGAGUACGGGAGAGGAUAGGGGAAUUCCUGGUGUAGCGGUGAAAUGCGUAGAUAUCAGGAGGAACACCGGUGGCGAAGGCGCCUAUCUGGCCCGAUACUGACGCUGAGGCGCGAAAGCUAGGGGAGCAAACGGG
rnacentral:rRNA from 1 species